rnacentral:rRNA from 1 species
GACGAACGCUGGCGGCGUGCUUAACACAUGCAAGUCGAACGGAAAGGCCCUGCUUUUGUGGGGUGCUCGAGUGGCGAACGGGUGAGUAACACGUGAGUAACCUGCCCUUGACUUUGGGAUAACUUCAGGAAACUGGGGCUAAUACCGGAUAGGAGCUCCUGCUGCAUGGUGGGGGUUGGAAAGUUUCGGCGGUUGGGGAUGGACUCGCGGCUUAUCAGCUUGUUGGUGGGGUAGUGGCUUACCAAGGCUUUGACGGGUAGCCGGCCUGAGAGGGUGACCGGCCACAUUGGGACUGAGAGACGGCCCAGACUCCUACGGGAGGCAGCAGUGGGGAAUAUGGCACAAUGGGCGGAAGCCUGAUGCAGCAACGCCGCGUGCGGGAGGACGGCCUUCGGGUUGUAAACCGCUUUCGCCUGUGACGAAGCGUGAGUGACGGUAAUGGGUAAAGAAGCACCGGCUAACUACGU